GCAACUUCACCGGUGGUCCAAAUCACUGUUUGGUUCCAAAUUUUUGGACCAUGUUGAAAUUUGAAGCGUGCACCGGUGUUGUAAAUAAUGUUCCAAUUUUAUUUUAUACCAGUUUUCUGGUCUAUUUUUUUGGAACAGGCUAGCUGCGUGGUCCAUUUUUGGUCGGAUUUGGACCAAGUUUUGAGCUGUUCCAAAACUGGUUUGACAAAUAUUUGUUUACCAGUUCGGAUGUUUUACGCUGAAACAGUCACCGUCUCUAGUUCCUACUCAUUUGAGCGCUACCCAUAAUAGAAAAUUUCAUCAUUCAUCGCAACAAACACGACCUCGCAAUACAUCUGAAUGAGGAAUUCGUGUUCCGGGAGCGCCGAGAUGACCAGCGAGGUGGCGGCCAAAAGUAUCGGAUGCAAGCGGUCACUCAUGCCACUCGGAAUGCGGUGUUCUUUCGCUCUUUGGGUGGUUCCAUAGUAUUAAGCAGCGUUCUGAACAAACUGAUGAGAACAGCGGUGUGCGGAUCGAUUGCUUCGUUAUUGUGUGCUGCUUCCAUGGAUUCAACAGAUGGGCUGCACUCACCGCCAAGUCUUGAGUUAGCCCAAUGCAUUUUUAAGGACUAUGUGAUACUCUCCAACAAAUCCACGGAACAGCUGGAA
rnacentral:lncRNA from 1 species